rnacentral:rRNA from 1 species
AUUGAACGCUCGCGGGAUGCUUUACACAUGCAAGUCGAACGAGUGGCGGACGGGUGAGUAAUAUAUCGGAACGUGCCCAGUAGCGGGGGAUAACUACUCGAAAGGGUGGCUAAUACCGCAUACUAUUGGAGCGGCCCCUAUCGGCUUCGCUCGUUGGUGGGGUAAAGGCUCACCAAGGCAACGAUCCGUAGCUGGUUUGAGAGGAAGACCAGCCACACUGGGACUGAGACACGGCCCAGACUCCUACGGGAGGCAGCAGUGGGGAAUUUUGGACAAUGGGGGAAACCCUGAUCCAGCCAUCCCGCGUGUAUGAGAAGGCCUUCGGGUUGUAAAGUACUUUUGGCAGAGAAGCGGGAUCGGAAGAAUAAGCACCGGCUAACUCCGUGCCAGCAGACGCGGUAAGUC